rnacentral:tRNA from 1 species
AUCUUUCUAGUAUAAAAGUACAUUUGGCUUCCAACCAAAAAGUCCAAUACAUUUGGGAAAGUUA